AAGCUCGUAGUUGAAUUUCGGGAUCAGACUGUCGGUCGUGCCUCGGUACGCACUGGCAUUAUUGGUUCCUACCUUCUGAAGAACCGCGAUGUCAUUAAUUUGGUGUCGCGGGGAAUCAGGACUGUUACUUUAGAAAAAAUUAGAGUGUUUAAAGCAGGCUUACGCUUGAAUACAUUAGCAUGGAAUAAUGAAAUAGGGCGUUUGAUUCUAUUUUGUUGGUUUCUAGGAUCGACGUAAUGAUUAAUAGGGAUAGUUGGG
rnacentral:rRNA from 1 species